UCGGAUAUGGUGUAACGGUUAACAUUACCGCCUCUCAGGGUGUGUCCAGAUCGCGGUAGCUCGGGGUUCGAUUCCCCGUAUCCGAA